UCAUUAGUUUUUUAAUUGAAAGCUUGUAUGAAGGGUUUGAUGAAAAAAUAACUGUUUCAAUUUUAUUUUUUUAGAAUUUUAUUUUUAAGUUAAAAAGCUUAAAUAAAAUUUAUAGACGAGAAGACCCUAUAGAGUUUGAUUUUAAAUUAAUUUUUAAAUUUUAGAAUUUAAGAUUUUUAAUUUAAUUUAAAAUUUUGUUGGGGUGACAGAAAAAUUAAAUAAACUUUUUUUUUAUAAAAACAUUAAUUUAUGAAUUUUUGAUCCAUAAAAAUGAUUAAAAGAUUAAAUUACCUUAGGGAUAACAGCGUAAUUUUUUUUGAAAGUUCUUAUUGAAAAAAAAGAUUGCGACCUCGAUGUUGGAUUAAAAUUUAUUUUUGGUGUAGAAGCUAAAA
rnacentral:rRNA from 1 species